rnacentral:misc_RNA from 1 species
GUAGGUGAACCUGCGGAAGGAUCAUUACAGAGUUCAUGCCCUCACGGGUAGACCUCCCACCCUUGUGUAUCUAUACCAUGUUGCUUUGGCAGGCUGCUGGCCCCCUCGGGGGACAGCCUCAGCGCCCUCGGGCCUGAGAGGCGCCUGCCGGAGGAAAAACAAACUCUGAAUUGUUAGUGUCGUCUGAGUACUAUAUUUUAAUAGUUAAAACUUUCAACAACGGAUCUCUUGGUUCUG